rnacentral:rRNA from 1 species
UACGUAGGCAGCGAGCGUUGUUCGGAUUUACUGGGCGUAAAGGGUGCGUAGGCGGUUGUUUAAGUUUGGUGUGAAAUCUCCCGGCUCAACUGGGAGGGUGCGCCGAAUACUGAAUGACUAGAGUGCGGGAGAGGAUAGUGGAAUUCCUGGUGUAGCGGUGAAAUGCGUAGAUAUCAGGAGGAACACCGGUGGUGUAGACGGCUAUCUGGACCGUAACUGACGCUGAGGCACGAAAGCGUGGGGAGCAAACAGG